GAUGAACGCUGGCGGCGUGCCUAAUACAUGCAAGUCGAGCGAACAGAUGAGGAGCUUGCUCCUCUGACGUUAGCGGCGGACGGGUGAGUAACACGUGGAUAACCUACCUAUAAGACUGGGAUAACUUCGGGAAACCGGAGCUAAUACCGGAUAAUAUAUUGAACCGCAUGGUUCAAUAGUGAACGACGGUUUUGCUGUCACUUAUAGAUGGAUCCGCGCCGCAUUAGCUAGUUGGUAAGGUAACGGCUUACCAAGGCAACGAUGCGUAGCCGACCUGAGAGGGUGAUCGGCCACACUGGAACUGAGACACGGUCCAGACUCCUACGGGAGGCAGCAGUAGGGAAUCUUCCGCAAAGGGCGAAAGCCUGACGGAGCAACGCCGCGUGAGUGAUGAAGGUCUUCGGAUCGUAAAACUCUGUUAUUAGGGAAGAACAAAUGUGUAAGUAACUAUGCACGUCUUGACGGUACCUAAUCAGAAAGCCACGGCUAACUACGUG
rnacentral:rRNA from 1 species